rnacentral:rRNA from 1 species
AAUAGAUACCCGGGUAGUCCACGCCCUAAACGAUGUCAACUAGCUGUUGGGGCCUUCGGGCCUUAGUAACGCAGCUAACGCGUGAAGUUGACCGCCUGGGGAGUACGGUCGCAAGAUUAAAACUCAAAGGAAUUGACGGGGACCCGCACAAGCGGUGGAUGAUGUGGAUUAAUUCGAUGCAACGCGAAAAACCUUACCUACCCUUGACAUGUCUGGAAGCUUCGAGAGAUUGAAGUGUGCUCGCAAGAGAACCGGAACACAGGUGCUGCAUGGCUGUCGUCAGCUCGUGUCGUGAGAUGUUGGGUUAAGUCCCGCAACGAGCGCAACCCUUGUCAUUAGUUGCUACGAAAGGGCACUCUAAUGAGACUGCCGGUGACAAACCGGAGGAAGGUGGGGAUGACGUCAAGUCCUCAUGGCCCUUAUGGGUAGGGCUUCACACGUCAUACAAUGGUCGGGACAGAGGGUCGCCAACCCGGCGAGGGGGAGCCAAUCCCAGAAACCCGAUCGUAGUCCGGAUUGCAGGCUGCAACUCGCCUGC